UGGGGGAUAUUGCACAAUGGGGGGAACCCUGAUGCAGCGACGCCGCGUGAGCGAAGAAGUACCUCGGUAUGUAAAGCUCUAUCAGCAGGGAAGAAGAUGACGGUACCUGACUAAGAAGCUCCGGCUAAAUACGUGCCAGCAGCCGCGGUAAUACGUAUGGAGCAAGCGUUAUCCGGAUUUACUGGGUGUAAAGGGAGCGUAGGCGGCCUGGCAAGUCUGGUGUGAAAACCCGGGGCCCAACCCCGGGAGUGCAUUGGAAACUGCCAGGCUGGAGUGCCGGAGGGGCAGGCGGAAUUCCUAGUG
rnacentral:rRNA from 1 species